CCUACGGGUGGCAGCAGUGGGGAAUAUUGGACAAUGGGGGGAACCCUGAUCCAGCCAUGCCGCGUGUGUGAAGAAGGCCCUCGGGUUGUAAAGCACUUUCAGUGAGGAAGAACGCCUGGUGGUUAAUACCCAUCAGGAAAGACAUCACUCACAGAAGAAGCACCGGCUAACUCCGUGCCAGCAGCCGCGGUAAUACGGAGGGUGCGAGCGUUAAUCGGAAUUACUGGGCGUAAAGCGCGCGUAGGUGGCUUGAUAAGUCGGUUGUGAAAGCCCCGGGCUCAACCUGGGAACGGCAUCCGGAACUGUCAAGCUAGAGUGCAGGAGAGGAAGGUAGAAUUCCCGGUGUAGCGGUGAAAUGCGUAGAGAUCGGGAGGAAUACCAGUGGCGAAGGCGGCCUUCUGGACUGACACUGACACUGAGGUGCGAAAGCGUGGGUAGCAAACAGGAUUAGAUACCCGAGUAGUC
rnacentral:rRNA from 1 species